AUUGAACGCUGGCGGCAGGCUUAACACAUGCAAGUCGAGCGAGUGGCGGACGGGUGAGUAAUGUUUGGGAAACUGCCUUAUGGAGGGGGAUAACUACUGGAAACGGUAGCUAAUACCGCCUACCAUCAUAUGUGCCCAGAUGGGAUUAGCUAGUUGGUGGGGUAAUGGCUCACCAAGGCGACGAUCCCUAGCUGGUCUGAGAGGAUGACCAGCAACACUGGAACUGAGAAACGGCCCAGACUCCGACGGGAGGCAGAAGUGGGGAAUAUUGCACAAUGGGGGCAAUCCUGAUGCAGCCAUGCCGCGUGAAUGAAGAAGGCCUUCGGGUUGUAAAGUACGUUCAGCGGGGAGGCGUUACCCGCAGAAGAAGCACCGGCUAACUCCGUGCCAGCAGCCGCGGUAAUAC
rnacentral:rRNA from 1 species